AUUGAACGCUGGCGGCAGGCCUAACACAUGCAAGUCGAGCGGAGCGGCGGACGGGUGAGUAAUGCCUAGGAAUCUGCCUGGUUGUGGGGGAUAACGUCCGGAAACGGGCGCUACUACCGCAUACUAUCAGAUGAGCCUAGGGCGGAUUAGCUAGUUGGUGGGGUAAAGGCCUACCAAGGCGACGAUCCGUAACUGGUCUGAGAGGAUGAUCAGUCACACGGGGACUGGGACACGGUCCAGAAUCCUACGGGAGGCAGCAGUGAGGAAUAUUGGACAAUGGGCGAUAGCCUGUACCGGCCAUGCCGCGUGUGUGAAGAAGGUCUUCGGAGUGUGGAGCACGUUAAGUUGUGAGGCGUUACCAACAGAAUAAGCACCGGCUAACUUCGUGCCAGCAGCCGCGGUAAUUC
rnacentral:rRNA from 1 species